rnacentral:rRNA from 1 species
AGAGUUUGAUCCUGGCUCAGAUUGAACGCUGGCGGAACGCUUUACACAUGCAAGUCGAACGGUAACGUGGGGAGGAGCUUGCUCCACCCCGACGACGAGUGGCGAACGGGUGAGUAAUACAUCGGAACGUGUCCGCUCGUGGGGGACAACCAGCCGAAAGGUUGGCUAAUACCGCAUGAGUUCUACGGAAGAAAGAGGGGGACCCGCAAGGGCCUCUCGCGAGCGGAGCGGCCGAUGACUGAUUAGCCGGUUGGUGAGGUAACGGCUCACCAAAGCAACGAUCAGUAGCUGGUCUGAGAGGACGACCAGCCACACUGGGACUGAGACACGGCCCAGACUCCUACGGGAGGCAGCAGUGGGGAAUUUUGGACAAUGGGCGCAAGCCUGAUCCAGCUAUUCCGCGUGUGGGAUGAAGGCCCUCGGGUUGUAAACCACUUUUGUAGAGAACGAAAAGACACCUUUUAAUAGAGGGUGUUGCUGACGGUACUCUAAGAAUAAGCACCGGCUAACUACGUGCCAGCAGCCGCGGUAAUACGUAGGGUGCGAGCGUUAAUCGGAAUUACUGGGCGUAAAGGGUGCGCAGGCGGUUGAGUAAGACAGAUGUGAAAUCCCCGAGCUUAACUCGGGAAUGGCAUAUGUGACUGCUCGACUAGAGUGUGUCAGAGGGAGGUGGAAUUCCACGUGUAGCAGUGAAAUGCGUAGAUAUGUGGAAGAACACCGAUGGCGAAGGCAGCCUCCUGGGACAUAACUGACGCUCAGGCACGAAAGCGUGGGGAGCAAACAGGAUUAGAUACCCUGGUAGUCCACGCCCUAAACGAUGUUAACUAGUUGUUGGGAAGUAAAAUUCUCAGUAACGCAGCCAACGCGAGAAGUUAACCGCCUGGGAAGUACGGUCGCAAGACUAAAACUCAAAGGAAUUGACGGGGACCCGCACAAGCGGUGGAUGAUGUGGAUUAAUUCGAUGCAACGCGAAAAACCU